rnacentral:rRNA from 1 species
CAGUCGCCGCGGUAAUACAGAGGGUGCGAGCGUUAAUCGGAUUUACUGGGCGUAAAGCGUGCGUAGGCGGCUUCUUAAGUCGGAUGUGAAAUCCCUGAGCUUAACUUAGGAAUUGCAUUCGAUACUGGGAAGCUAGAGUAUGGGAGAGGAUGGUAGAAUUCCAGGUGUAGCGGUGUAAUGCGUAGAGAUCUGGAGGAAUACCGAUGGCGAAGGCAGCCAUCUGGCCUAAUACUGACGCUGAGGUACGAAAGCAUGGGGAGCAAACAGGAUUAGAUACCCCCGUAGUCCCUGUCUCUUAUAC